rnacentral:rRNA from 1 species
AGAGAUAGAUUGGUGCCUUCGGGAACAUUGAGACAGGUGCUGCAUGGCUGUCGUCAGCUCGCGUCGUGAGAUGUUGGGUUAAGUCCCGUAACGAGCGCAACCCUUGUCCUUAGUUACCAGCACGUAAUGGUGGGCACUCUAAGGAGACUGCCGGUGACAAACCGGAGGAAGGUGGGGAUGACGUCAAGUCAUCAUGGCCCUUACGGCCUGGGCUACACACGUGCUACAAUGGUCGGUACAGAGGGUUGCCAAGCCGCGAGGUGGAGCUAAUCCCACAAAACCGAUCGUAGUCCGGAUCGCAGUCUGCAACUCGACUGCGUGAAGUCGGAAUCGCUAGUAAUCGCGAAUCA